rnacentral:rRNA from 1 species
GGUUAAGCGACUAAGCGUACACGGUGGAUGCCCUGGCAGUCAGAGGCGAUGAAGGACGUGCUAAUCUGCGAAAAGCGACGGCGAGGUGAUAUGAACCUUUGACCCGUCGAUGUCCGAAUGGGGAAACCCAGUGUGAUUCGUCACACUAUCGUUAACUGAAUACAUAGGUUAACGAGGCGAACCGGGGGAACUGAAACAUCUAAGUACCCCGAGGAAAAGAAAUCAACCGAGAUUCCCCCAGUAGCGGCGAGCGAACGGGGAGCAGCCCGGAGUCUGAAUCAGCUUGUGUGUUAGUGGAACGGUCUGGAAAGUCCGACGGUACAGGGUGAUAGUCCCGUACACGAAAGCACACUUUGUGAACUCGAAGAGUAGGGCGGGACACGUGGUAUCCUGUCUGAAUAUGGGGGGACCAUCCUCCAAGGCUAAAUACUCCUGACUGACCGAUAGUGAACCAGUACCGUGAGGGAAAGGCGAAAAGAACCCCGGCGAGGGGAGUGAAAAAGAACCUGAAACCGUGUACGUACAAGCAGUGGGAGCACCUUCGGGUGUGACUGCGUACCUUUUGUAUAAUGGGUCAGCGACUUAUAUUCUGUAGCAAGGUUAACCGUAUAGGGGAGCCGAAGGGAAACCGAGUCUUAACUGGGCGUUAAGUUGCAGGGUAUAGACCCGAAACCCGGUGAUCUAGCCAUGGGCAGGUUGAAGGUUGGGUAACACUAACUGGAGGACCGAACCGACUAAUGUUGAAAAAUUAGCGGAUGACCUGUGGCUGGGGGUGAAAGGCCAAUCAAACCGGGAGAUAGCUGGUUCUCCCCGAAAGCUAUUUAGGUAGCGCCUCGUGAACUCAUCUUCGGGGGUAGAGCACUGUUUCGGCUAGGGGGCCAUCCCGGCUUACCAACCCGAUGCAAACUACGAAUACCGAAGAAUGUUAUCACGGGAGACACACGGCGGGUGCUAACGUCCGUCGUGAAGAGGGAAACAACCCAGACCGCCAGCUAAGGUCCCAAAGUCAUGGUUAAGUGGGAAACGAUGUGGGAAGGCACAGACAGCCAGGAUGUUGGCUUAGAAGCAGCCAUCAUUUAAAGAAAGCGUAAUAGCUCACUGGUCGAGUCGGCCUGCGCGGAAGAUGUAACGGGGCUAAACCAUGCACCGAAGCUGCGGCAGCGACGCUUAUGCGUUGUUGGGUAGGGGAGCGUUCUGUAAGCCGUCGAAGGUGUGCUGUGAGGCAUGCUGGAGGUAUCAGAAGUGCGAAUGCUGACAUAAGUAACGAUAAAGCGGGUGAAAAGCCCGCUCGCCGGAAGACCAAGGGUUCCUGUCCAACGUUAAUCGGGGCAGGGUGAGUCGACCCCUAAGGCGAGGCCGAAAGGCGUAGUCGAUGGGAAACAGGUUAAUAUUCCUGUACUUGGUGUUACUGCGAAGGGGGGACGGAGAAGGCUAUGUCAGCCGGGCGACGGUUGUCCCGGUUUAAGCGUGUAGGUGUGUGUUCCAGGCAAAUCCGGUUCACUUUAACACUGAGGCGUGAUGACGAGGCACUACGGUGCUGAAGUGAUAAAUGCCCUGCUUCCAGGAAAAGCCUCUAAGCAUCAGGUAACACGAAAUCGUACCCCAAACCGACACAGGUGGUCAGGUAGAGAAUACCAAGGCGCUUGAGAGAACUCGGGUGAAGGAACUAGGCAAAAUGGUGCCGUAACUUCGGGAGAAGGCACGCUGAUAUGUAGGUGAAGUCCCUGCGGACGGAGCUGAAAUCAGUCGAAGAUACCAGCUGGCUGCAACUGUUUAUUAAAAACACAGCACUGUGCAAACACGAAAGUGGACGUAUACGGUGUGACGCCUGCCCGGUGCCGGAAGGUUAAUUGAUGGGGUUAGCGGCAACGCGAAGCUCUUGAUCGAAGCCCCGGUAAACGGCGGCCGUAACUAUAACGGUCCUAAGGUAGCGAAAUUCCUUGUCGGGUAAGUUCCGACCUGCACGAAUGGCGUAAUGAUGGCCAGGCUGUCUCCACCCGAGACUCAGUGAAAUUGAACUCGCUGUGAAGAUGCAGUGUACCCGCGGCAAGACGGAAAGACCCCGUGAACCUUUACUAUAGCUUGACACUGAACACUGGUCCUUGAUGUGUAGGAUAGGUGGGAGGCUUUGAAGCGUGGACGCCAGUCUGCGUGGAGCCGUCCUUGAAAUACCACCCUUUAAUGGCUGGUGUUCUAACGUGGACCCGUAAUCCGGGUUGCGGACAGUGUCUGGUGGGUAGUUUGACUGGGGCGGUCUCCUCCCAAAGAGUAACGGAGGAGCACGAAGGUUAGCUAAUCCUGGUCGGACAUCAGGAGGUUAGUGCAAUGGCAUAAGCUAGCUUGACUGCGAGAGUGACGGCUCGAGCAGGUGCGAAAGCAGGUCAUAGUGAUCCGGUGGUUCUGAAUGGAAGGGCCAUCGCUCAACGGAUAAAAGGUACUCCGGGGAUAACAGGCUGAUACCGCCCAAGAGUUCAUAUCGACGGCGGUGUUUGGCACCUCGAUGUCGGCUCAUCACAUCCUGGGGCUGAAGUAGGUCCCAAGGGUAUGGCUGUUCGCCAUUUAAAGUGGUACGCGAGCUGGGUUUAGAACGUCGUGAGACAGUUCGGUCCCUAUCUGCCGUGGGCGCUGGAGAAUUGAGGGGGGCUGCUCCUAGUACGAGAGGACCGGAGUGGACGCAUCACUGGUGUUCGGGUUGUCAUGCCAAUGGCACUGCCCGGUAGCUAAAUGCGGAAGAGAUAAGUGCUGAAAGCAUCUAAGCACGAAACUUGCCCCGAGAUGAGUUCUCCCUGAGACUUUAAGUCUCCUGAAGGAACGUUGAAGACGACGACGUUGAUAGGCCGGGUGUGUAAGCGCAGCGAUGCGUUGAGCUAACCGGUACUAAUGAACCGUGAGGCUUAACCUU